rnacentral:rRNA from 1 species
AGUGAACGCUGGCGGUAGGCCUAACACAUGCAAGUCGAACGGCAGCACAGUAAGAGCUUGCUCUUACGGGUUGCGAGUGGCGGACGGGUGAGGUAUACAUCGUAAUCUACUUUUUCGUGGGGGAUAACGUAGGGAAACUUACUCUAAUACCGCAUACGUCCUACGUUUGAAAGCAUUGGUUCUUCUUACCUUUCGCGUUUGAUUUCGCCGAUGUCGGAUUAGCUAGUUGGCUGGGUAAAGGCCCACCAAGGCGACGAUCCGUAGAUGGUCUGAGAGGAUGAACAGAGGAACUGGAACUGAGAAACGGACAAGAGUACUACGGGAGGCAGCAGUGGGGAAUAUUGGACAAUGGGGGAAAGCAUGAUACAGCAAUACCGAGUGGGUGAAGAAGGACUUAGGGUUGUAAAGACAUUUUGUUGGGAAAGAAAAGAAGCAGGUUAAUAACACGCUGUUCUGACGGUAACAAAAGAAUAAGCACCGGCUAACUUCGUG